rnacentral:rRNA from 1 species
UACAGAGGUCCCAAGCGUUGUUCGGAUUCACUGGGCGUAAAGGGUGCGUAGGCGGUCGGGUAAGUCUGAUGUGAAAUCUCACAGCUUAACUGUGAAACUGCAUUGGAUACUAUUCGGCUUGAGAGUUGGAGGGGGACUGGAAUUCUCGGUGUAGCAGUGAAAUGCGUAGAUAUCGGUAGGAACACCAGUGGCGAAGGCGGUCUCCUGGGGCAUUCUUGACGCUGAGGCGCGAAAGCUGGGGGAGCGAACGGG